rnacentral:rRNA from 1 species
GUCGUACGAUGAACCACKUMRGUGGGGAUUAGUGGCGAACGGGUGAGUAACRCGUGGGCAAUCUGCCCUUCACUCKGGGACAAGCCCUGGAAACGGGGUCUAAUACCGGAUAACACUCCUGCCUGCAUGGGCGGGGGUUAAAAGCUCCGGCGGUGAAGGAUGAGCCCGCGGCCUAUCAGCUUGUUGGUGAGGUAACGGCUCACCAAGGSGACGACGGGUAGCCGGCCCUGAGAGGGCGACCGGCCACACUGGGACUGAGACACGGCCCAGACUCCUACGGGAGGCAGCAGUGGGGAAUAUUGCACAAUGGGCGAAAGCCUGAUGCAGCGACGCCGCGUGAGGGAUGACKGCCUUCGGGUUGUAAACCUCUUUCAGCAGGGAAGAAGCGAAAGUGACGGUACCUGCAGAAGAAGCGCCGGCUAACUACGUGCCAGCAGCCGCGGUAAUACGUAGGGCGCAAGCGUUGUCCGGAAUUAUUGGGCGUAAAGAGCUCGUASGCGGCUUGUCACGUCGGUUGUGAAAGCCCGGGGCUUAACCCCGGGUCUGCAGUCGAUACGGGCAGGCUAGAGUUCGGUAGGGGAGAUCGGAAUUCCUGGUGUAGCGGUGAAAUGCGCAGAUAUCAGGAGGAACACCGGUGGCGAAGGCGGAUCUCUGGGCCGAUACUGACGCUGAGGAGCGAAAGCGUGGGGAGCGAACAGGAUUAGAUACCCUGGUAGUCCACGCCGUAAACGGUGGGCACUAG